rnacentral:misc_RNA from 1 species
AAAAGUCGUAACAAGGUUUCCGUAGGUGAACCUGCGGAAGGAUCAUUACAUAAUAUACUGUGUGAAUUCUAUGAAUUCGUCAAACACAUAUACACCCUUGUGAACUGUUAUUGACACCUUUGGUGCGCAAGCGCCAAACGGUACAACCACAAAACACUCUGUUGAACCAAUUCGACUUAUACUAAUAAUCUAAUUAUUAUACAACUUUUAACAAUGGAUCUCUUGGCUCUU